UACGAGGGGGGCAAGCGUUGUUCGGAAUUACUGGGCGUAAAGGGCGCGUAGGUGGCCUUCUUAGUCAGACGUGAAAUCCCCGGGCUUAACUCGGGAACUGCGUCUGAUACUGGAAGGCUCGAGUUCGGGAGAGGAAUGUGGAAUUCCAGGUGUAGCGGUGAAAUGCGUAGAUAUCUGGAGGAACACCGGUGGCGAAGGCGGCAUUCUGGACCGAAACUGACACUGAGGCGCGAAAGCCAGGGGAGCAAACGGG
rnacentral:rRNA from 1 species